rnacentral:rRNA from 1 species
UGAUCAUGGCUCAGAACGAACGCUGGCGGCAUGCCUAACACAUGCAAGUCGAACGAGACCUUCGGGUCUAGUGGCGCACGGGUGCGUAACGCGUGGGAAUCUGCCCUUUGCUUCGGAAUAACAGUUAGAAAUGACUGCUAAUACCGGAUGAUGUCUUCGGACCAAAGAUUUAUCGGCAAAGGAUGAGCCCGCGUAGGAUUAGGUAGUUGGUGGGGUAAAGGCCUACCAAGCCGACGAUCCUUAGCUGGUCUGAGAGGAUGAUCAGCCACACUGGGACUGAGACACGGCCCAGACUCCUACGGGAGGCAGCAGUGGGGAAUACUGGACAAUGGGCGAAAGCCUGAUCCAGCAAUGCCGCGUGAGUGAUGAAGGCCUUCGGGUCGUAAAGCUCUUUUACCAGGGAUGAUAAUGACAGUACCUGGAGAAUAAGCUCCGGCUAACUCCGUGCCAGCAGCCGCGGUAAUACGGAGGGAGCUAGCGUUGUUCGGAAUUACUGGGCGUAAAGAGUACGUAGGCGGCUAUUCAAGUCAGAGGUGAAAGCCCGGGGCUCAACCCCGGAACUGCCUUUGAAACUAGGUAGCUAGAAUCUUGGAGAGGUCAGUGGAAUUCCGAGUGUAGAGGUGAAAUUCGUAGAUAUUCGGAAGAACACCAGUGGCGAAGGCGACUGACUGGACAAGUAUUGACGCUGAGGUACGAAAGCGUGGGGAGCAAACAGAAUUAGAUACCCUGGUAGUCCACGCUGUAAACGAUGUCGAUUUGAAGGUUGUUCC